CUAACUACGUGCCAGCAGCCGCGGUAAUACGUAGGGGGCGAGCGUUAUCCGGAUUUAUUGGGCGUAAAGCGUGCGUAGACGGUUUAUUAAGUCCAGAAUUAAAGCCCGAGGCUUAACCUCGGUUCGUUCUGGAUACUGGUAGACUAGAGUAUGGUAGAGGCAAAUGGAAUUCCUAGUGUAGCGGUGGAAUGCGUAGAUAUUAGGAGGAACACCAGUGGCGAAGGCGGUUUGCUGGGCCAUUACUGACGUUGAGGUACGAAAGCGUGGGUAGCAAAUAGGAUUAGAUACCCUAGUAGUCCACGCUGUAAACGAUGAGCACUAAGUGUCGGGUUACCGGUGCUGAAGUUAACACAUUAAGUGCUCCGCCUGAGUAGUACGGUCGCAAGACUGAAACUCAAAGGAAUUGACGGGCACCCGCACAAGCGGUGGAGCAUGCCGUUUAAUUCGAAAAUACGCGAAAAACCUUACCUAGACUUGACAUCCCUGGCAAUGCUAUAGAAAUAUAGCGGAGGUUAUCCGGGUGACAGGUGGUGCAUGGUUGUCGUCAGCUCGUGUCGUGAGAUGUUCAGUUAAGUCUGCUAACGAGCGCAACCCUUGUCAAUAGUUGCUAACAUUUAGUUGAGAACUCUAUUGAGACUGCCGGUAUUAAACCGGAGGAAGGUGGGGAUGACGUCAAAUCAUCAUGCCCCUUACGUCUA
rnacentral:rRNA from 1 species